rnacentral:rRNA from 1 species
CAAUAGCGUAUAUUAAAGUUGUUGCAGUUAAAACGCUCGUAGUCGGAUUUCGGGACGGUUGUGCCGGUCUGCCUUUUGGUAUGCACUGGCGUGAGCGUCCUUCCUUCCGGAGACUGGCCCUACUCUUAACUGAGCGGGGUCGGGGAUCGGAUCGUUUACUUUGAAAAAAUCAGAGUGUUUCAAGCAGGCAACUCGCUCUUGCAUGGAUUAGCAUGGGAUAAUGAAAUAGGACUUUGGUGCUAUUUUGUCGGUUUCGAACACCAGAGUAAUGAUUAAGAGGGACAGUCAGGGGCACUCGUAUUCCGCCGAGAGAGGUGAAAUUCUCAGACCAGCGGAAGACGAACCACUGCGAAAGCAUUUGCCAGGGAUGUUUUCACUGA